rnacentral:rRNA from 1 species
GAUGAACGCUGGCGGCGUGCCUAAUACAUGCAAGUCGAGCGAACAGACGCGGAUCUUGCUCCUCUGACGUUAGCAGCGGACGGGUGAGUAACACGUGGAUAACCUACCUAUAAGACUUGGAUAACUGCGGGAAACCGGAGCUAUUACCGUAUAAUAUAUUCGACCGCAUGGGUCAGUAGUGAAAUACUGGUUUUGUGUCGCUUUGGGAUGGAUCCGCUGCGUAUUAGCUUGUUGGUAAGGUAACGGCUUACCAAGGCGACGAUGGGUAGCCGGCCUGAGCGGGUGACCGGCCACACUGGGACUGAGACACGGCCCAGACUCCUACGGGAGGCAGCAGAGGGGAAUAUUGCACAAUGGGCGCAAGCCUGAUGCGGCGACGCCGCGUGAGGGAUGACGGCCUUCGGGUUGUAAACCUCUUUCAGUAGGGAAGAAGCGAGAGUGACGGUACCUGCAGAAGAAGCGCCGGCUAACUACGUG